rnacentral:lncRNA from 1 species
AAGAGUGAACUUGAAAGUUGAGGCCCCUGAGGACUUCCUCCUGUAGGCACGCUCUGCUCCGCUCUGCUCUGAGCAGCUGUGUCAAAAGGGAGUACCAAGAGAAACUUCUGCUUCUGACUAGAGAUCUAGGAGUCUGUGAAAUCUAAACUGACGCCAAAGAAUGCCCCUUGAUCAGAUCCUUAGUAAGCUCCCCUUGUACAUCUGAAAUAGAAUCAGAUUUAAGAGAAAUGAAAAUGUAUGCUCACACAAAAGCUUGUGAAUCAUAAAAGCCAAAAAGUAGAAACAACCCAAAUGUCCAUCCACUGAUAAACAGACAAACAAUACAUGGUGUGUCUUACAACAGAAUGUUAGUCAGCCAUUGAAAAGAAUGUAUGCUGUUAGGAGUUCUCUUCCAGCACAAUAGGUCAAGGAUCUGGCAUUGUCACUGCAGAGGCUCAGAUUGCUGCCACAGCAUGGGUUUGAUCCCUCGCCUGAGAACUUCCACAUGCCGUGGGCAUGGCCAAAAAAAGAAAGAAAAAAAAGAAAGAGUACAUCCUGCUAGCACGAUACAACAAGAAAGUCAGAAACAAAAAGCUGCAUGUUGCAUGAGUCCAUUUAUAUCGAAUGUCCAGAAUAGGGGGACCUAUAGACAGCAUUUUAGUGGUCACUCAGGGCAGAGGAUGGCGAAGAUGGGAGGAAAUAGGGAGGGACUGAUAGUGAGGAAGGGGCUUCUUAGGGUGAUGGAAAUGUUCCAAAAUGGUGCUGACAGUUAUACAAUUCUGUGAAUACACUAAAAUGCAUUGAAUUGUACAUAUUUAUUUUUUUCUCUUUACAGCCACACCUGUGGCCUGUGGAAGUUCCUGGACUGAAAGUCGAAUCAGAGCUGUAGCCACAGGUUUACGCCACAGCCACAGUAAAACCAGAUCUGAGCUGCAUCUGCAACCUACACUAUGUAGCUUGCAGCAAUGCUGGAUCCUUAACUCACUGAAUGAGGCCAGGGAUUGAACUUGUUUCCUCAGAGAGAUGACCUCAGGUUCUUAAUCUGCUGAGCCAUGAUGGGAACUCCAAAUUGUAUGCUUUAAAUGGGUAGGUUUCAGAGUGUGUAAAUUAUAUCUCAAUAAAGCUUUUUUUUUUUGGCCAUGCCCUUGAUAUGUGGAAGUUCCUGGGCCAGGGAUCGAACCUGUGCCACACCUGUGACAAUGCCAGAUGCUUAACCUACUGUAUCACAAGGGAAAUCCAAUAAAGCUGUUAUAUAAAAUACAAGAUUGGAGUUCCUGUUGUGGUGCAGUAGAAACGAAUCUGACUAGGAACCAUGAGGUUGCAGUUUCGAUCCCUGGCCUCAAUCAAAUGGGUUCAGGAUCUGGCAUUGCUGUGAGCUGUGGUGUAGCUCACAGAUGUGGCUCAGAUCCUGUGUUGCUGUGGCUGUGGUGUAGGCCCGCAGCUCUGUAGCUCCAAUUGGACCCCUAGCCUGGGAACUUCCAUAUGCCGCAAGUGUGGCCCUAAAAAGCAAAAAAAAAAAAAAAAAAAAAAAAA